AUGGAUACCCCAUUCGCUUCCCGAUGCGCGACACCCCAUUCGCUUCCCGAUGCGCGACACCCCAUUCGCCUCCCGAUGCGCAGCAUUGCGUUGCAGAGACAUCGUGGAAUUGAACCGUCGACAGGCCCGACCAGAGGCACCAUGACCAGUGUUAACUCCCCCGCCUGCCUCCUGGCUCGUAACCAGUUCUAUCGAAGGUUCCCAGGAGCAGGGGGACUAUCUAAAGGAUGGUGGGUCAGUGUGGUUCUGGGGAGCCCCAAACCACGCACCGUCCCGUCCAGCGCCCCCCCCAGCCCACCGCCCUGCGCACUCCAGCCCACCACCCCUCCAGCCCACCCCAGCCCAGCACCCUCACCCGGCGCCCCCUGUCCAGCACGCCGGUCCAGCGCCCCCCCAGUCCAGCACCCCGGUCCAGCGCCCCAGCCAACAGAGCGGUCCAGCGCCCCAGCCAACAGAGUGGUCCGGCACCCCCAGCCAACAGAGCGGUCCGGCGCCCCCAGCCAACAACACAGUCGGUGUUGGACCUGUUUGACAUUUUGCGUCACUUCCUAUCCUACCCUGACUCCUAUUUCGUUGAAGGCAGAAGGAAGGGUGAGAAGAAAGAAAAAAUAA
rnacentral:lncRNA from 1 species